ACUGAUGAAAAGCCGAGAGGGGAGAGAACUAGUAAUCCCUUGUGUGGCUCUCUGAUCACCAUCUCUGUGUUCAGGAAUAGGUGGCUUUAUCAUGCGUGUGUCCAAGUGUUCACGAGCGUGUGUGUGCAGACACUCCCUAGUGCUGUGGGAGAGGAUUGGAGUCGAUUGGAGCUGGUAGCAAAGAGACUGAUAUUUCUUGCCAAGCUGUGUGUGCCUGAGUUCUGCAGAGUGGGCGAGCCCUGCUGAUGGGAGGUGGUUCUCUGCAGGUGGAAGGGACCAGGUGGGGCCCUUAAGAUGUGGUUUGUUCAUCAGGGAGGAGCCCUCAGGAGUGGAAUUAAUGCUCCUACAAAAGGUGCACGAAAGAACUCACUACUCCUCUUCACCACAUAAGAUUUCAGCACCGGCCUGCUGUCGAGGAAGUGGCCCUCACCAGGCAUCAGAUUAGCCAGGGCCUUGCCACGGGAUGUCCUGCCUUCCAGAACCGUGAUGCAGCUGGAGGUGCGUUCUGGAGCCCAGCACCACCGCAAAGCUGUCCAGUUGUCUUGAAGCUGUCACUGCUGAGGAAGCUCAAAGAAGCUCAUGAAGAGACCGUAAAGAGAAGCCCGAGUCUACAUGAGCAGAGAGGCGCUAGGCCGUUGCAGGCUGCUCCUGGCCCUUCUCUCUCAGCUUGAGCUACUUUGUCUGCAGCCCCAGCCAACCGUGUAGUUGGUGAACUCCAGACAGAAUCCACUGUGUGCCCAGCCUGUAGACCCACGCCCGGCUCAGCUUUCUGCCUCAGAAGGACAGACCACACCCUUCUUCAAAACAGGAUUUGUGUUCCAGGGGUGAAGGUUUUAUAGUAUUUAUUUAUUUACUGUGACAGAAAGCCUCCCUCCAGUUCAGCACACUUACAUGAAAACCCUGCUCAUCUCACCCGCUAGGGGGCGUGCCCCGCUCGUCUUUGCGUUCCUAGGUCCCAGCAGCGCUUUGCUAGGGAGAGGCUCUCAGUGGGUGGGAGAUUACCUGGUGGGCGAGUGAAUGAACGAAAAGAAGCUCCUGGGAAACACGGAGCGGAUUCUGAGAAAGGCCGGCACGUGUGCCGCUGCUCCCCGAUUCUGCGUGCACGGAAGGUGCAGCUAACGCUUCCAGGAUCCUGGAG